rnacentral:rRNA from 1 species
GAUGAACGCUGGCGGCGUGCCUAAUACAUGCAAGUCGAGCGAACAGAUGAGGAGCUUGCUCCUCUGACGUUAGCGGCGGACGGGUGAGUAACACGUGGAUAACCUACCUAUAAGACUGGGAUAACUUCGGGAAACCGGAGCUAAUACCGGAUAAUAUAUUGAACCGCAUGGUUCAAUAGUGAAAGACGGUUUUGCUGUCACUUAUAGAUGGAUCCGCGCCGCAUUAGCUAGUUGGUAAGGUAACGGCUUACCAAGGCAACGAUGCGUAGCCGACCUGAGAGGGUGAUCGGCCACACUGGAACUGAGACACGGUCCAGACUCCUACGGGAGGCAGCAGUAGGGAAUCUUCCGCAAUGGGCGAAAGCUUGACGGAGCAACGCCGCGUGAGUGAUGAAGGUCUUCGGAUCGUAAAACUCUGUUAUUAGGGAAGAACAAAUGUGUAAGUAACUAUGCACGUCUUGACGGUACCGAAUCAGAAAGCCACGGCUAACUACGU